rnacentral:lncRNA from 1 species
GGAGAAAUGACUCCGAGGUUUGUAGGAAGAGCGGUAUUACCGAAGGAAGGAGGACAGAGGCAGAGACAGAGGAGACAAAGCUGCUGUACCUGACGUGUUUCAGAGAUAACACCAUGCUGUGGUUUCUGGGGCUGGCCUGUGCGCUCUGUAUGGGAGGAAGUGCUGUUGUGGGACAGAGAGUGAAUGCGUGGGUCGAGGAUAGACGAGGGCUGUGGUGGCUGAGGAAUGCCAGCUAUUCUAG